rnacentral:rRNA from 1 species
UUGGCUGUCCAGCUGUCCAAAUAACAGCUGUUAGCAAGGGCCGGGCAAGACCGGUGCCAGCCGCCGCGGUAACACCGGCGGCCCGAGUGGUAGCCGCUAUUAUUGGGUUUAAAGGGCCCGUAGCCGGCCUAUUAAGUCUCUUGGGAAAUCUGGCGGCUUAAUCGUCAGGCGUUCA